GACGAACGCUGGCGGCGUGCCUAAUACAUGCAAGUAGAACGCUGAAGAGAAGAGCUUGCUCUUCUUGGAUGAGUUGCGAACGGGUGAGUAACGCGUAGGUAACCUGCCUUGUAGCGGGGGAUAACUAUUGGAAACGAUAGCUAAUACCGCAUAACAAUGGAUGACCCAUGUCAUUUAUUUGAAAGGGGCAAAUGCUCCACUACAAGAUGGACCUGCGUUGUAUUAGCUAGUAGGUGAGGUAACGGCUCACCUAGGCGACGAUACAUAGCCGACCUGAGAGGGUGAUCGGCCACACUGGGACUGAGACACGGCCCAGACUCCUACGGGAGGCAGCAGGAGGGAAUCUUCGGCAAUGGGGGCAACCCUGACCGAGCAACGCCGCGUGAGUGAAGAAGGUUUUCGGAUCGUAAAGCUCUGUUGUAAGUCAAGAACGAGUGUGAGAGUGGAAAGUUCACACUGUGACGGUAGCUUACCAGAAAGGGACGGCUAACUACGUG
rnacentral:rRNA from 1 species